rnacentral:rRNA from 1 species
GACGAACGCUGGCGGCGUGCUUAACACAUGCAAGUCGAACGGAAAGGCCCUGCUUUUGUGGGGUGCUCGAGUGGCGAACGGGUGAGUAACACGUGAGUAACCUGCCCUUGACCUUGGGAUAACUUCAGGAGACUGGGGCUAAUACCGGAUAGGAGCUCCUGCUGCAUGGUGGGGGUUGGAAAGUUUCGGCGGUUGGGGAUGGACUCGCGGCUUAUCAGCUUGUUGGUGGGGUAGUGGCUUACCAAGGCUUUGACGGGUAGCCGGCCUGAGAGGGUGACCGGCCACAUUGGGACUGAGAUACGGCCCAGACUCCUACGGGAGGCAGCAGUGGGGAAUAUUGCACAAUGGGCGGAAGCCUGAUGCAGCAACGCCGCGUGCGGGAUGACGGCCUUCGGGUUGUAAACCGCUUUCGCCUGUGACGAAGCGUGAGUGACGGUAAUGGGUAAAGAAGCACCGGCUAACUACGUG